rnacentral:snRNA from 1 species
AUCACUUCUCGGCCUUUUGGCUAAGAUCAAGUGUGAAGAGUUCUAUAGUUUCAAUGCUUAUAUAUAGGUUUUUGAUCAAUAUGAAUUGAUUUUUCUAUAUGGUUGGAGGGAGGCAUGGAAUUUCAUUCUUUCGCAUAUAGAUAAUCAUUUAUCACAUAACCAUUUGUUGAAAAGACUGAUCUUUU